UUGUAUAAUUCCGGAGCGUAUCUCCAUUCUGUUUGAUUGCAAACAGUGAUUCUGUGCCCUUCCUUACCCUUGUGUUUCCACAGUGUUGGGCGACGAACUUCUUUUUCAAGUCCUCGAAGUUCGUUAUGCUCCCUGGCUGAAGUUCGACGAACCACCUAUAUGUAGGUCCCUUCAGUGUUCCUGGGAAUGCUCUGCAGAGAAUGUCAUCCCUUGAUGUGGCCCACUGCAUUGCCCCUACGAACAUAUUUAUGUGGUCUGCUGGGUCCAUUUUCCCAUCGUAAACCUGGAGC
rnacentral:lncRNA from 1 species